rnacentral:lncRNA from 1 species
UCACUUAUUUAUAUUAUUAUUGAAAUAAUAUAUGAAUUGAAAGAUGAUAUGAGAUGACAAUCUGACUAUGUAAAGGACCCCGUCAAUGGGGGCAUAUACGUUGGCAAAUGAUAUAUCUUGAGGAUUUAUGUCGCCAGUAAGACCAGCGAUAUGUCAUCAGAGAGACCAGUGACAAACUGCCAGCGAGACCAGCGGUUUCGAAGGACUUUGCUGUCAGAUGAUUUGCAGCUCACUGCAAGAAAAUACGUGGUAUUAUGAUCCUGCCCC